rnacentral:lncRNA from 1 species
AAAACUAUCUCCUUCUCUCUAUAACUUAAAAAUAAAAUUUCAAAAGAUCCCAUUAUUCCUUUUUUCCAUUCCAACAUUCUUUGCCUUAUCUUUUUUCCAAGAAAACUUAUAUGUAUUUCUAUAAUUAGACCUUAUUUUUUCCUAAUUAAGUAAGUUUUCUCUUCAAUUUUGUGUCAAAAUAAAUAUAUUGAUUAGUUAUGGGAUUUUACAUGAAAUAUGUACAAUCAUUAGCUUCUGUAUGGUUAGUUAUGUUAUUAUUAGGUCUCUUGUGUUGUUGUCUUAGCAGCAAGCCUCGUUCUCAAGGUGAUAAAACUAGUGGUACUGGUGGUUGCACUUGUGAUGGUGGAUAUGGUGGCGUAUAACGAGCGAAUAUAUAUGAAGUUCAAACUCCAGAAAAAAUUCAUACCACGAUUGAUUUUUUAAAUUUUUUUAAGGAAAUUAAGCUUCGAUAUCGAUUGAUAUACGAUACUUUAGCUUAAUAUAUAGUUUUGUUAGGUUUUGGUUAGUGAUUAUUGUAUAGUGAAUUGGUUUUUGAUUUGUUGAUUAACAUACUUUUAUUGAUUGUUAAUUUCAUAAUCAUUAUUUUGUGCCUUUAUUGUUCUUUCGAUGAAUAUAUGUGGGUGUGUGUCAAUUGUAUUGUCAUUAUAUAGAUUCAAUUAUAGUAAAAUGUGCUGCCCUAAAAGAA